UACGUAGGGUGCAAGUGUUAUCCGGAAUCACUGGGCGUAAAGCGUCUGUAGGUGGUUCAAUAAGUCAACUGUUAAAUCUUGAGGCUCAACUUCAAAAUCGCAGUCGAAACUAUUGGACUCGAGUAUAGUAGGGGUAAAGGGAAUUUCCAGUGGAGCGGUGAAAUGCGUAGAGAUCGGAAAGAACACCAACGGCGAAAGCACUCUGCUGGGCCGACACUGACACUGAGAGACGAAAGCUAGGGGAGCGAAUGGG
rnacentral:rRNA from 1 species